rnacentral:lncRNA from 1 species
AGGAAACUUGCAAUAAGUGCGAAUAUUCAAUAAUACUCAUAGAUGUGGAAUAAUCAACAAUAAUUAUCCACUAACAUGCUUGAAAAAUAAUAACUCAAGUUUGAGUUAGGGAACUUGUCUCAGUUGAUGACUACUGCUACGCAAUUUAAUAUAACUUCUUAUGAAAGACCCAUCAUUAAUAAGAUUGAUCUCUCAAUUAGCAUCUCAUAUCUUAC